AGAUCACCUAACUCCCCUCCCCCCAGCUGGUGGCUUCCCUCGACACUUGGAGUAAAAGGCAAAGUCCAUACCAAGCCGGUGCAGUCUGGAUGCCCUUCUCCACACUCCACCUUCAUCUCGGAUUGAAGAUGAGGAAACUGAGGCUGGGCAAGAGUGGAUACCCUGUCCAAGGCCACGUGGCUGUGAGGUGACAAAGCAAGGAUUCAAAUCCAGAGCCACACAUUUACCCACCAAGCUCUCCAAGAGCUGAUGAAGACAAGCCAUAGCAGGUACCAGCUGACUAAGAACAACUUACAGAAGAAACAUUUAACCUGAAAAGUCUUAUCCAUUUCCUUCUUCCACUUGGUGUUGGCUGGGCCUGAUUGAAAGAGAGCCAUGACUUGCCCCUUUGGAUUAUUUGAGGAAUGAGCAGAGUGUAUCUAAAAUGAAGCUUGUGAUGGACUUCCCGGGUGGCGCGGUGGUUAAGAAUCCACCUGCCAAUGCAGGGGACACCGGUUCGAGCCCUGGUCCGGGAAGAUUCCACAUGCUGCAGAGUAACUAAGCCCGUGCGCCCCAACUACUGAAGCCCACGCGCCUAGAGCCCGUGCUCCACAGCAAGAGAAGCCACCGUAAUGAGAAGCCCGCGCACCGCAACGAAGAGUAGCCCCCGCUCAACGCAACUAGAGAAAG